rnacentral:rRNA from 1 species
AUUGAACGCUGGCGGCAUGCCUUACACAUGCAAGUCGAACGGCAGCACGGGAGCAAUCCUGGUGGCGAGUGGCGAACGGGUGAGUAAUAUAUCGGAACGUGCCCAGUAGUGGGGGAUAGCUGCUCGAAAGAGCGGCUAAUACCGCAUACGACCUGAGGGUGAAAGGGGGGGAUCGCAAGACCUCUCGCUAUUGGAGCGGCCGAUAUCAGAUUAGCUAGUUGGUGGGGUAAAGGCCUACCAAGGCAACGAUCUGUAGUUGGUCUGAGAGGACGACCAGCCACACUGGGACUGAGACACGGCCCAGACUCCUACGGGAGGCAGCAGUGGGGAAUUUUGGACAAUGGGCGCAAGCCUGAUCCAGCAAUGCCGCGUGCAGGAAGAAGGCCUUCGGGUUGUAAACUGCUUUUGUCAGGGAAGAAAUCCUCUAGGUUAAUACCCUUGGGGGGAUGACGGUACCUGAAGAAUAAGCACCGGCUAACUACGUGCCAGCAGCCGCAGUAAAAC